GGCAAGUUGAGAAUAGGCUUGAUGGACUUGAAUCAAGCCGUCUGUGAUGUCAUACACUGAUCAUUCUGUGCGGCGCCGAUGCAAGUCCAACAAGCCCAACGCUCAGUCCAAGAGCUAUCUUAAGAUGUCACAUGAUUACAUGGAUCACAUGGUCAACCAAACUGGGGUAUGUUAACAACCAAAAAUAAGUACAUUUUUAAACAGAAUUUUACACAAAAUGAACUCAAUACACAAUCAAUUAAAUAUUCAAUGAUGAUACAUUUGAAACAAAAAAAAGUUACAAACAAUUUAACAAAAUAAAUAAAAUUCACAAAUAAACAUGCUGGAUUACAAAAUAGUGUUUCCUAACAGUCCAUAGUUAAAAAUAUAAGGUUAUAUAAACAAUUACUUAACAUAUUUGUCCUUUAAAAGUUAAAAAUAAUUGUUGUCCUUUAUUGGUGGUGUGUACAUGGUAUUUUUGAAUAAUUUCCCUUGGAGUUUUUUGGUCUGCGAAACUCAUAUGGACAGUGUUUAAGGACUCAACAGUGAAUGAGAGCGUGCCUGUCUGAAGACUGUCCACGUGGGACGCUAAUGAAGUUUAUUGACUGGGUAUUAUCGCAGUGCGGAUCCCCCUUCACCGUCGGCUGGGUUUCAUCAACAUGAUUCUUGACUGUUCGCCCACAACAUAAGUAAUACCAGAGCCCAUUGCAGACUAGUAGCCUGAGUCCCAAGCCCAGAGCCAGUGCCUGAGCCACAGAUCGUCCCGGAGCCAGAGCCCAGGAAAGCCAGAGCCAGCCCUGUUUGACCAGGUGCAUGAGCUGGCAACAUUGUUCUUCCCCGUGGGAGUGUUGGUGGAAUACGAAUGUAUUCAGUGUCAGCUCUGCCUGGCUCUCCCGCUCCAUCAGCUCCACCUCAGUCAGUUGUCCCCCAGGCUCCACCAGGGCCUCUCCCUCCCUUGACUCCACGGGUGGCCGGAGUCCUGGCUCUCCCGCUCUGGCUCCUCCCGCCUUCAUAUUUACCCUUGACUUAGUGUUUAAUAAACUCUACAUUUAGGGCUUUCACAUCUGCAAUUUUUAACCCUGGGUUAAAAGCAGGGUUAGAUCUAUGAUAGAUCAUGCACCCGUCUAGACUCCACAAUGGGCUCAGGCUCCAGGAUGAAACUGACCUCUGGCAAAGACUCUGGUGAGCUCCGAUUCUGGCUUCAGUUCUGUACCAGGCAUGGCAUAAGUCUGGCUGGGAUCUCAAUCACUCUGCUGGGAAACAAAUAGAGCAAGAUGAAUUGCACUUUGGAAAUUGUGUUUUUUAUGUGCACUGAAAAAAAGAGAAAGCGAAAGAGGAGAAUAAGGAGAUGUCAUGGCUAGGGAAGAGGACAGCUUGGCAUGACAAUCUUGCAAACAGAGCUUGAGGGAGCGACUGUACAGAACAAAGACUGUAGUCAGGCUCACUGGAGAAAUAUAAAGACCACAGCGGCACUGAGAGCAGGACAGAAAUAGGCCAUGCUGAGUCCGCUAACAGCCUCGUUUAGCGGAGGAACGCUGCACUCAUAACCAGCGGUGUAGAGGCCAUCGUGUGCAGGAAACCACUGAAGAAGAGAAGAGCGGGACCGCUUGUGCAGAAGACGAGCUCGAUCAUAAAGACCAGUAAAGAUGACCCUCGCUGA